rnacentral:rRNA from 1 species
UGCCGGGCACUCUGGAAGGACUGCCAUCGACAAGAUGGAGGAAGGUGGGGAUGACGUCAAGUCAUCAUGGCCCUUAUGUCCAGGGCGACACACGUGCUACAAUGGCCGGCACAACGGGAAGCGAGUUCGCGAGGACGAGCGGAUCCCUCAAAGCCGGUCGCAGUUCGGAUUGAAGUCUGCAACUCGACUUCAUGAAGCUGGAAUCGCUAGUAAUCGUGGAUCAGCCAAGCCGCGGUGGAAUACGUUCCCGGGCCUU